GUUAGCGGGCCAAGGAAUGGGGCCCUUUGGACCUUCCACUUCAGGCUUGGCCCCCCUCUCGGCCACGUGGCUGCGUGCCUAGGCGGCCUGGGAGCCUGUCCCAAAGGGCCCCCUGUUAUUCUCUUGCAGGAGGCAUCCAGCAGCCUGCCAUGUGGCGCACGGCCGCCAAGGGCGAUUUUUCUGCCUUCCAACGGAAAUGGUUUGGGGUGGCAUUCGUAGCCGAGGAGCUCAUUCACUCCGAAAUCCCAGGUUUCCUCCUGCCUUGGCUGCCCAGCCGCCCGGGUUCCUACACAAGCAAACACAGCUCCUUCAGCCUCAGUUUUGGAGGGCGAAGCCAGGCAGCUGCGCUGUUAGGUUUGGGUUUGUACACGACAAAUAUUCAGCCUCUGCAUUCAACUUCCCUUCAGAGAACAAACCCCAGUACAUUCAUGUCACAGUGUGCAGCAGCAGCAAACUGCUUUUCUGGCCCAGAUUAGUCUGCUGGAAUUAAGGAAGCUAACCAGGAGUGGACCUCUCUGUAGAAAGGACUGUGUAAGCUCAGUUCAGGUCUUGUUCCGAAAACAAACGCGGGAGUGGGGUCCCAGUUUUGGUCACCUGCCUUGACUACUGCAUCCAGUUUUGGACACUGCACUUGAAGGCAAACUCAAACAAGUUCUGAGGAGGGCAGCGAGGAUGAUCAAGGGAAUGGAAACAAAGCUAUACAAGGAGAGACUGAAAGAACUGGGCAUGUUUAGCUUCGAGAAGAGCAGACUUGAAAUACUUAAAAGGUUGUCACACAGAGAAGGGCCAUGAUCUGUUCUUGAUCUUCUCAGAAUGCAGACACAGAAUAAUGGGCUCAAGUUACAGGAAGCCAGAUUUUGGCUGCACAUCAGGAAAAGCUUCCUAACUGUUAGAGCCAUACAACAAUAGAACCAAUGACCUAGAGAGGUAGUGGGCUUUCCAACACUGGCCCCUUCCAACUCUUCUAUGAUUCUAACUAUUAAAGCUGCCUCUGGCGCUUCUCUGAUGAGAUUCUUUUCUUAAACUUUUUAUUUAUAAGAUACACAAAGAUUACAGUAAAUUAAACUCAUCAUGUAAUCUUGAUGCUUAUCAUUAAAAAAAGGGAACAUUACCCAUUUAUUUGGCUAAUUUAUACAUGUUCUUUUAAAGUAAGUUAGUUUUAUCGUUAGAAUAGCCCAUCUUUUCUCAGUCUAAUCUAGUAAGCAUGGUGCAUUUCUCUUCCAUAUUUUUAGCUAGUAAUUUCGGCAGCAGUUUAUUAUUAAUAAUAAUAAUAAUAAUAAUAUUUGUUUGUCACCUAUCUGGCAAUUAGCCAAUCUAGGCGACGUACAUUAAAAUGAGAUAAAAUACAAAAAUUCAAAUGCAAUCACAUAAUAACAGUAAAUAAAAUAAAAUUAAAUUAAACUGAUCACCACCAAGGGAGGCUCUUCUUACCUAUAGCAAAUGGGAAGGGACACGGAAGAGUUGCUCCCAGAGCUGUGUACUAUGCCUGCCAUCAGGAGCCUGCCUUUGCUGUUGUGUAUCCUCAGUGACUGCCUGCCUUCUUCCUGUUGUUUUCCUCCUAGUAAUGCAAUGAUGUGGGCCUUAUGACUUACCUGGGCACCAUCACCAAGACAUGCAACACCAUGAACCAAUUUGUGAACAAGUUUAACAUUAUAUAUGACCACCAGGGCAUUGGCCGCCGAAUGCGGGGGCUCUUCUUCUGAGAUGUUGACACUCCUCAAUAAAGUGACUGUGA